rfam:Xiphophorus maculatus strain JP 163 A Contig234.36, whole genome shotgun sequence.
AAAGUUUCAUAUGCCACCGCAAUGGAUUGGUUCAUUGCUGUGUGCUUUGCCUUC